AGUGAACGCUGGCGGUAGGCCUAACACAUGCAAGUCGAACGGCAGCACAGUAAGAGCUUGCUCUUACGGGUGGCGAGUGGCGGACGGGUGAGGAAUACAUCGGAAUCUACUUUUUCGUGGGGGAUAACGUAGGGAAACUUACGCUAAUACCGCAUACGACCUACGGGUGAAAGCAGGGGAUCUUCGGACCUUGCGCGAUUGAAUGAGCCGAUGUCGGAUUAGCUAGUUGGCGGGGUAAAGGCCCACCAAGGCGACGAUCCGUAGCUGGUCUGAGAGGAUGAUAAGCCACACUGGAACUGAGACACGGUCCAGACUCCUACGGGAGGCAGCAGUGGGGAAUAUUGGACAAUGGGCGCAAGCCUGAUCCAGCCAUACCGCGUGGGUGAAGAGGGCCUUCGGGUUGUAAAGCCCUUUUGUUGGGAAAGAAAAGCAGCAGGUUAAUACCCCGCUGUUCUGACGGUACCCAAAGAAUAAGCACCGGCUAACUUCGUG
rnacentral:rRNA from 1 species